rnacentral:rRNA from 1 species
GCAAGUUGAGCGCUGAAGGUUGGUACUUGUACCAACUGGAUGAGCAGCGAACGGGUGAGUAACGCGUGGGGAAUCUGCCUUUGAGCGGGGGACAACAUUUGGAAACGAAUGCUAAUACCGCAUAAAAACUUUAAACACAAGUUUUAAGUUUGAAAGAUGCAAUUGCAUCACUCAAAGAUGAUCCCGCGUUGUAUUAGCUAGUUGGUGAGGUAAAGGCUCACCAAGGCGAUGAUACAUAGCCGACCUGAGAGGGUGAUCGGCCACAUUGGGACUGAGACACGGCCCAAACUCCUACGGGAGGCAGCAGUAGGGAAUCUUCGGCAAUGGACGAAAGUCUGACCGAGCAACGCCGCGUGAGUGAAGAAGGUUUUCGGAUCGUAAAACUCUGUUGGUAGAGAAGAACGUUGGUGAGAGUGGAAAGCUCAUCAAGUGACGGUAACUACCCAGAAAGGGACGGCUAACUACGUGCCAGCAGCCGCGGUAAUACGUAGGUCCCGAGCGUUGUCCGGAUUUAUUGGGCGUAAAGCGAGCGCAGGUGGUUUAUUAAGUCUGGUGUAAAAGGCAGUGGCUCAACCAUUGUAUGCAUUGGAAACUGGUAGACUUGAGUGCAGGAGAGGAGAGUGGAAUUCCAUGUGUAGCGGUGAAAUGCGUAGA